CCAGUGCAGAGUGACACAGACAGGCGACAGCGUCGCUGAGCACUGACUUCUAUUUCACGGAGGCAGACAGCGAAAACCACUUCAGAACCACGGCAAGGCAUGAGAGAAGCACAGGGUAGCUGCAAAGUUUUGGAAAAGACCUCUGCAACAACUGGAAGCACAGUGUACCCAAGUGGCAUGGUGCAGAGGGCAGAAAGAAGACAAAGAAUGAAGACAAAAGAAGCCUUUUUCCUCAAGAAGAUUGCAAUCUAGUGGUGGAGCUGGAAAAUGAAGGAAAGCAGUGGCCAUGUAUGUCAUGAGGACAUUCCAAUAACCCUAUGUGGUAAGGAACCGAAUCAGCCUGCCAACAACCACUGAAAAACUGAGCCCUCCUGCUGACAGCCAUGUGAGAGGAACACCUUGGAAGUGGAUCCUCCAGUCCUGAUCAUACUUCAGAUGACUGCAGCCCAAGCCAACAUCUUGCUUGAGUGGAGCCUCAUGAGUGACUCAGUCAAAACCACACAGCUGAGAUAUUUCCGACCCACAGAUACUGAGAGAAUAAAUGUUUAUUGCUUUAAGCUACUAGGUUUCCUUCCUUCCUUCCUUCCUUCCUUUAUUUUCUCUUCUCCUUCUUUCCUUCCUCCCUCCCUCUCCUCCUCCUCCUUCUUCUUCUUCUUCCUCUUUCUCUUCUUCCUCUUCCCCUUCCCCUUCCUCUUCUUCCUUCUUUCUAUCUUACUUUCUUUCUCUUUCUUUCUUUCUUUCUCUAUGAAAAUAUCAGGAGUACUAUA